rnacentral:snRNA from 1 species
AUCGCUUCUCAGCCUUUUGGCUAAGAUCAAGUGUAUUUGUGUACCUUUCAGCAAGUUACCAAAAAUUUUUGGCCCUUUAAAAGCACUUUUUAAAAAUUAUUUUUAGAGAUCACUGGUUACACUGAGUGCCAAGCCCUUAGUAAGUACCUCCAAAUU